GUAUAAUAGAGGUGGUAUUGUUUGACUUCCAUUUGUGAAGUUUAAAUGAGAUUUGUUAUUGUUGUUUUUAUGUUAAUCCCUAGUACAUGGCCUACUGUAAACACCCAGGACACCCAGGAUAUGGUCAUUGCUGUUUGAUUUUCCUCAUCCCCAGUCUCAAGGGGAAGCCAGGACAAUGAGAACAGUCACUUGCCAUCAGGACUCACUGAAAGGGUCCCAGGGUGGGAUGGUGGGGAGAUAAGAACCAUGAGAGAAGUUGGCACAGAGGUGUUUUGGGAGAAAGGGUCCAAGAUAGGCAGAAAAGAAAAUGUUGCCAGUUGAUGGGAAAGAAAGGAAGUCAGAGGGCUUAGACACUGAGGGGGACAGAACAUCUCCAUAUGCACUCUCAUCUCUUGUAGUCAGCAACAGGUAUCCACGGGGAGGGCCCUACAUCAUCUGCUACCCUGAAGGAUCUGGAGGUAAGAGGCUCUGGACGGAGGUGCAGUGACCCUGCAGGCCAGCCCUCCCGCCUCCUCCCACAGCGGGGACUGGGUGCCCCUCUGCCAGUUGAGACAGCCCACACACACCCCAAUCCUAAUGAUUGUUCUCUCUACCUCUCCCCCCACUCCUCCUCCACCUCCUUCUUGCUGCAUGUGCCUCAGAGGCUGUGCCAAGAGCUAGCAGUAGUCCUGGACUCAAGGUCCAUAAAAAUCAGUCAACUGAAGAACACCAUCAAAUCUCUGAAAGAACAGAAGAAACAAGUGCAACAUCAGCUGGAAGUAGAAAAGAAAGCAAACAAUGAGAAACAAAGCCAAAAGGCAGCUAGAGG